GACUCUCCAAAAUUCUUGAAAUGACUUAUAAUUUGGAACGGAGGGAGGGAGUAUAUGAUUAGCCACCUCCAACAAAGAUACCAAUGCAAAGAUCAUCUUGAUCUUCAAGGAAGAUCUUGUCGUAGCAUAUGCUAUGGCUGCUGAGGCUGAGAUCAAGAUAGGUCAGGUUGAUGACGUCCAGGAGCUGCACCGGGCGGGCCUGGAGACAGUGCCGGAUCGCUACAUCAGGCCCAGGGAUGGGGACGACCGGCCGGGCGGCGACAACGUCUGCGCUCUCGCGCACAUCCCGGUGAUCGACGUCGGCGAGCUCACGCGCGACGACGAGCUGAACAAGCUCAGGCUCGCCUGCGAGCAGUGGGGUUUCUUCCAGGCUGUGAACCAUGGCAUCGAGGACGAGCUGCUGGACGAGAUGGAGAAGCUGACGAGGGAGUUCUUCAUGCUGCCUCUGGAGGAGAAGGAGAAGUACCCCAUGGCGCCAGGCGGCAUCCAGGGCUACGGCCACGCCUUCGUCUUCUCCGAGGACCAGAAGCUGGAAUGCUGGACUGGUGCAACAUGCUGGCGCUGGGCGUGGAGCCCGGCUUCAUCCGGCAGCCCAAGCUGUGGCCGACGACCCCGGCCAGGUUCAAGGAGACCCUGGAGAGGUACUCCGUGGGAAUCAGGGCCCUGUGCCGGCGGCUGCUCGCCCACAUCGCCGAGACGCUGGGCCUGGCGCCGGGCACGUUCGGCGACAUGUUCGGCGAGGCGGUGCAGGCGGUGCGGAUGAACUUCUACCCGCCGUGCCCGCGGCCGGAGCUGGUGCUGGGGCUCAGCGCGCACUCCGACGGGAGCGCGGUCACCGUGCUCCAGCAGGACAUGUCCUGCGCCGGCCUGCAGGUGCUCAAGGACGGCGCCUGGGUGCCCGUCCACCCCAUCCCACACGCCCUCGUCAUCAACCUCGGCGACUCGCUCGAGGUUCUGACGAACGGCAGGUACAAGAGCGUGGAGCACCGGGCGGUGACCAACGGCGAGCAGGACCGGCUGUCGGUGGUGACGUUCUACGCGCCGGCCUACGACGUCGAGCUGGGCCCGCUGCCGGAGUUCGUCACCGACGAGGUGCCGUGCCGGUACCGGAAGUUCAACCACGGCGAGUACAGCCGCCACUACGUCACCAGCAGGCUCGAGGGCAAGAAGACGCUCGAGUUCGCCAAGAUUGAUCAGACCACUACCACUGCUCCAGAAGAACCCUGUAGUUGCAUAUAGUUUGGUCUGGCUGCCUCUCUAGCUGUGCUUGGAAAUUGCAGUUGCAGACAGAUCAAGUAGUCCUGAUGAGUGAUGAGCCAGAGCCCAGAAGGCCAAAACUACCUCCUCUUAGUAGUUCAGAAGUAUAUAAGCAGUGCCGUAUGCCGUAUCCCCUUUCUUAUCUCUAAAGGAAAGUACUGCACGGAUACAGUAUUUGGUGCUUGUGACUGAGGACACGUGUUUUGAUCUCCUACCAGCUAGUAUCAUUUGGUGCCA